AACCUGGAACAGUGUGCUCCAAUGCAGAUGCCCUCGAGGUCCUCAUCUCUUCUUGGAAUCCUGCCCACAGGGUCUGGACUGAACUCUGCCCGUACCCAGGCGGUGUCCUCCGGAACAUGCUGUUCUCUCACAUCCCAGGACGAUGAAGAUGGAGAUGGUUGAAGAAAACUUGAAUGCAAAAAAACCAAGCAGACUAGUCUCUGUCUCUAGGUUCCUGCCUUGAGUUCCCGCUUUGACUUCCUUCAAUGGUGGAUUGUGCCAUGGAAGUGUAAGCUAAAUAAACCCUUCCUUCC